UUCCCUCUCUUCCUAUAUAUAUAUAUAUAUUCUGUCAGUGACAUUGUUAAAGAUCCAUUGUUCCAUUCAGAUAUGAGGGAAAUUGUAACUAUUCAAGUGGGGAGUUAUGCCAACUUUAUUGGCUCUCACUUCUGGAACUUCCAGGAUGAAUUACUUGGAUUGGCUGAAAGCCCUGAAAGUGAUGAAGUAUUCAAAAAUCAUAGCCUUGAUAUGGAUGUGUUGUAUCGUACUGGGGAAACUCAGCAAGGGCUCCUUACAUACACCCCUCGAAUGGUCUCAGUAAACUUUCAAGGGUCCCUUGGAUCUGUGAGUUCACGUGGAUCGUUGUACGAUCAGAUCCCAGCCAAAAACAUGGAUGUCAUGACAUGGAAGGGCAGAGUCAUAACUCAUGCAUCUGAACCUUUAAGGAGGAAUCUCUUCUUGCAAAGCUUAAGUGAGGAAGGACAAGAGAGUGUGGGCAAAGCUAAUGAUUUGGACAAUGUGAACAACAAUUCUCCAGCAGAAAUUCAAGAUAAGGAUAUCGUAGAAUGUUUGGAAAGUGAUGUUCAAUAUUGGACAGAUUUUUCUAAAGUACACUAUCAUCCACAAAGUUUAUAUGAAUUAAGUGGAUUAUGGGCAGAUAUUCAGGAGUUCGAUAAUUAUGGACUCGGGAAGGAGGCAUUUUGUGGGCAUCAACAUGGUGAAGAAAUAGAUGACAGACUUCGUUUCUUUGUUGAAGAAUGUGAUCAUAUUCAGGGGAUCCAAUGCAUUGUGGACGACUCAGGAGGGUUUUCUGGUGUAUCCGCAAUGUUCCUGGAGAGCAUUGCAGAUGAGUACCCAAACGUCCCAGUUUUACUAUAUAAUGCACGUAAUCCUAGCUUGCACAUGGACUCCAAAGGUCGCAAGCAAGCUAUCUCCCACAAUCUUCAUGAUGCAGUCUCAUUUUCAAGGUUGUCUGAGCUAUGUAAAUUGAUUAUCCCGGUUGGUUUGCCCUCCCUGAGUGGAAGUAGAGCUUCUCAGUUUCUCCGCAUUGAAGACGAAAAGCCUUACCACUCCAGUGCAGUGUAUGCGUCUGCAAUGCACUCAUUUAGUCUCCCUUUUAGGAUGAAACAGUCAGGCCCAUCUGCAGAAUCAAUCUAUACGUCUGGUGCUCUGGAUAUGUAUGGGACAGUACAAAUGCUAGCAGGCCAAAUGAGGCAGAACAUGGUAACUAUAUUAGAUGUUGCCAUGCCGGCACCUUCUUUAAGUGCAGACCGGGCUCAGCAGUCCUUUCUCGGAAACUUGCAGCCCUUGAUUCCGGACAUAGCAGAAGAUGUUGAAGAUUUCCAUGCAGUGGAAACUAUGAACAUUCACGGAGCAGUUACAUCUGGAAACCAAAGGGCCUCAAUUAAUGACGUUAAGGAUGCAGUUGAGUGUGCUUACGAUAAUUCAGUCACAAGGCCCAAAUUCUCACACCUAUCUGCUUCUACUUGUCCUCUUCCUAUACCCUUGCCAUUCCCUAUGAUCUUUCGCGAUAUGGUUGGUCAACACGGUGAGCUAUUGGAAACCCCGAUUUCAGGUUCUUCAUCUAGGGGAUCCAUUGAAGUCCAUUCCAUUCCUAUGGCAACAAGAUUACGUUCAAGCACUGCUGUUUUGCCCUUUUUGGAAAGAAAACUUGAAAAUCUUCGUAGGUUUGGUAUUGAGCGAGGAGCCAUUGGGGCACCAUUGCUCCAAAGUUGGGGUUUUGGAAAAGAUGAAGUGGAAGAUAUGGGAGAGGUACUGUCUAAGAUGGUAACGACACUGAAGCCCUAUCCUCAAUAUUCCUCUGAUUCGGAUUGAGUUCACAAGGAGCAUAUUUUAUUUUCAAGUGCCGAUGGGAUAGUUCUUCCAGGUAUCCCUAGCUUGAUAAAAGAAGCCAAUUAGACAGGGUUGAGGCCUCCAUCUUCGAUAACGACAACUAUAACUCAGGGAUGAAUCAGCAAUGUACUUCAGCCAACAUUUGGAUACACAUUUAAACCUUGCUAGAGAUUUUGAAGGCAAACAAUGCAGUAUGUUGAUCACAAUAUCAUCAGAAACCUCCACUGCUCCUUCUUUGUCACACAAUUUGCGUCGACGUUUCAUACUAGUCAUACUUUUUCAACUAUAUUAUUUUCUUCUUACACAAAGUGUUCACAACAGAAGUUAUAGCGAUUGUGGGUUACCGAGAUUAAAAAAGAAAACUGUAACAGAAUUUGAACUUUUCAUGAAAUUCAACAGAAAAUUCAGAUUAGAAGAUGGGAAGUAAAGUCCACUUAUAAUUGUUACAGAAAUGAGAUUUUAAAUGGUUAGCAAA